rnacentral:rRNA from 1 species
CGGGUGAGUAACGCGUGGGAACGUGCCCUUCUCUGCGGAAUAGCCACUGGAAACGGUGAGUAAUACCGCAUACGCCCUUAGGGGGAAAGAUUUAUCGGAGAAGGAUCGGCCCGCGUCUGAUUAGGUAGUUGGUGGGGUAAUGGCCUACCAAGCCUACGAUCAGUAGCUGGUUUUAGAGGAUGAUCAGCCACACUGGGACUGAGACACGGCCCAGACUCCUACGGGAGGCAGCAGUGGGGAAUCUUAGACAAUGGGCGCAAGCCUGAUCUAGCCAUGCCGCGUGAGUGAUGAAGGCCUUAGGGUCGUAAAACUCUUUCGCUGGGGAAGAUAAUGACGGUACCCAGUAAAGAAGCCCCGGCUAACUCCGUGCCAGCAGCCGCGGUAAUACGGAGGGGGCUAGCGUUGUUCGGAAUUACUGGGCGUAAAGCGCACGUAGGCGGAUUAGUAAGUCAGGGGUGAAAUCCCGGGGCUCAACCCCGGAACUGCCUUUGAUACUGCUAGUCUUGAGUUCGAGAGAGGUGAGUGGAAUUCCGAGUGUAGAGGUGAAAUUCGUAGAUAUUCGGAGGAACACCAGUGGCGAAGGCGGCUCACUGGCUCGAUACUGACGCUGAGGUGCGAAAGUGUGGGGAGCAAACAGGAUUAGAUACCCU